ACAUAAUCGGACUGAUACAGGGCGGUUUCAAGACCAUUGAGGGACGUUUUAACGCCACUGAGGGACGUAUUAAUGCCGUUGAGAGGCGUUUUAACAUCGUUAAGGAGCGCUUGGGUGACUUUGAGAAAAAGCAGGAUGAUUAUAAGCAGUCUGUGACGGCCACACUACAACAACAAAGUAUCUGGAUUAAACAAGUGAUAGGAUGCAGCGUUUGUAUGGUGGGGUGAGCCAAUGAGCAGCCCGCGAUCAAAACCUGAGAACCGUGCUCAUGCUUAAAAAGAAACUCGGUGUGCAGACUAGAAGAACUGCCUGGUGGACAGCAGAUUUUUCACUCAUCUCUUUCUAACUCAAGGGGCUGACACCACUGAGAAGAACGUCUUGGCAAGACCAAGGAAAACCUGCUGUGAGGAAAAAAUCGCCUGUCAUGCAACACCAACGACCAGGAGACUGACGUUAAUGUAAAGAGAUGGCUUCAGUUUGCCCCUGAAAGAGAUUGAGGAAGGAGGAAGCGGUUGAGGAGAAAAGAAG